rnacentral:rRNA from 1 species
GACGAACGCUGGCGGCGUGCCUAAUACAUGCAAGUAGAACGCUGAAGGAGGAGCUUGCUUCUCCGGAUGAGUUGCGAACGGGUGAGUAACGCGUAGGUAACCUGCCUGGUAGCGGGGGAUAACUAUUGGAAACGAUAGCUAAUACCGCAUAACAGUAGAUGUUGCAUGACAUUUGCUUAAAAGGUGCAAUUGCAUCACUACCAGAUGGACCUGCGUUGUAUUAGCUAGUUGGUGAGGUAACGGCUCACCAAGGCGACGAUACAUAGCCGACCUGAGAGGGUGAUCGGCCGCACUGGGACUGAGACACGGCCCAGACUCCUACGGGAGGCAGCAGUAGGGAAUCUUCGGCAAUGGACGGAAGUCUGACCGAGCAACGCCGCGUGAGUGAAGAAGGUUUUCGGAUCGUAAAGCUCUGUUGUAAGAGAAGAACGAGUGUGAGAGUGGAAAGUUCACACUGUGACGGUAUCUUACCAGAAAGGGACGGCUAACUACGUG